rnacentral:rRNA from 1 species
CAAUUAGCGGUAAAUACAACAUAUUCUUAAGUAAAUAAGAAUAUAGAUAAAAAUAACAAAUAAGAGAAAAUAUUAGGAUGUUAUUAUAUAUAAUGUCCUUUUCCCUUUUCUUCUUAUUUUGUUUUUUUUAUUCUAUUUCUUUUUUUACUUAAGAAUGUAUUUACUUGAUUGUAAAGCUUCUUAGAGGAACAUUGUGUGUCUAACACAAGGAAGUUUAAGGCAACAACAGGUCUGUGAUGUCCUUAGAUGAACUAGGCUGCACGCGUGCUACACUGAUAUAUAUAACGAGUUAUUAAAAAUAUAUCUGUGUAUAUAUGUAUUUUAUAUAUAUAUACAAAAGGUAUAAUUUUCCUCCACUGAAAAGUGUAGGUAAUCUUUAUCAAUAUAUAUCGUGAUGGGGAUAGAUUAUUGCAAUUAUUAAUCUUGAACGAGGAAUGCCUAGUAAGCAUGAUUCAUCAGAUUGU